UGCCUAAUACAUGCAAGNUUGAGCGCUGNAAGGUUGGUACUUGNUACCGNACUGGNAUGAGCAGCGAACGGGUGAGUAACGCGUGGGGAAUCUGCCUUUGAGCGGGGGACAACAUUUGGAAACGAAUGCUAAUACCGCAUAAAAACUUUAAACACAAGUUUUAAGUUUGAAAGAUGCAAUUGCAUCACUCAAAGAUGAUCCCGCGUUGUAUUAGCUAGUUGGUGAGGUAAAGGCUCACCAAGGCGAUGAUACAUAGCCGACCUGAGAGGGUGAUCGGCCACUGGGAGGACUGAGAC
rnacentral:rRNA from 1 species